GCAAGUCGAAUGGGUUUAGACCCAUGGCGAACGGGGUAGUAACAGGUAGGAACGUACCAUAGAGUCGUGAAUAAUCUAUCAAAAGGUAGGAUAAUACACGAUACGCCUUCGGGUGAAAGAUUUAUCGCUCUAUGAUCGGCCUGCUUCGUAUCAGCUAGUUGGUAGUGUAAUGGACUACCAAGGCUAUGACGCGUAGGGGAGCUGAGAGGCUGACC
rnacentral:rRNA from 1 species